GGGGCAGGACGGAGUGAGCGGUGUUUCUCCUGUUGGCGGCUGAGGUAACGUGCAAGGUAUAGCGAUUUCCCUAUGGUGCAAGGUCACGCAAGAACGCAACUAUUGCGUUAUAGGAGAACUACCUGUACAUCAAAGUAAGAAUCCAAAAACAGCCUUUUACGUGGAAUAGAUUUAUUUACAGAGUGAAACACUUUAGUUUGAAGAGGAGAGUGUUAUUUGCCACACCUAUUUCUCAGGCGCUGCUUCUCUGUGGCUGUUUGGAAACCCUCAGUACAUUACCAUGAUCUGAAAACUUUGAUCUGUGGAAAAGCAAUACUCACCGGUAACAUUGGUUGUCAACCAAUGUCCAGAGUUCAAGGAAAGAGGGAGUUGCAUGUAGGCGAUGGAAGGGUCGAAAUUUGAAGCAAAGUUGUGGCUACACCAUCUGGAAAUUUCAAAGCUAAGUUUGCUCGUUAUUUGGAGUUGGUGUAAAGGAAAAUGGAAAGAAGGAAAAUGGAGCUGAGAUACAGAUCGGUUAUGAUCCAGUUGAGAGGCUGCACCUUCUCGCAGGACUGAAUGUUUUCUUUAUUCCUUUGUUCCACUAUUUUAUUAUUCAAGUAAUAAAACCCAGAACUCUUA